rnacentral:rRNA from 1 species
AAGUAUGACACAGAGAGGGCACAUUUAAUUGAGCCCGUCAAAUUAAGUGCCAGCCGACGCGGUUAAACUUAAGGGCUGGUCUUUAUAAGUAAAAAGGCGUAAAGGAUGUGUAGGCCAGGAAACGAUCCAAGUAGGUAAAUGGAAUUUUUCUGGAGCGGUAGAAUGUGAGGAUAGAAAAUAGAACCCCUAAGGUAAAAACUAUUUACUACAAGGUAGGCUGAAACAUGAGAGUGUGGGGAGCAAACAGGAUUAGAGACCCUGGUAGUCCACACUGUGAACUUUGAAGAUGAUGCUUAGCAGACCCGAAAGGUAAAAUCUUCCGCCUGAGUAGUACGAUCGCAAGAUUAAAAAUUCAAAAACUUUGGCUGUUCACUAUUUCGAUUAGAGGAGCGUGUAGUUUUAAUUCGAUGGUCCGCGUGUUACCUUACCCCAACUUGAAUCUGUGACCGGUAUUGCAUGGCCGUCGUAAGUUCGUGUAUUAAGCUAGAAGGGACCCAACCCGGGCAUUUGCCCGGAGGAAGUCAGGUCUUAUGAUCCGAAUGUUGGGGGAUUUUAUGCGCUACAUUUUCUUAUAUAAUGAGAAACCUGGAAGUGAGUCUCUAAAGUAAGAGUUCGGAAGGUCGCUGUAAGACGACUGGAAGUUGGAUUUAAUAGUAAUCGGAAAGUAGGCGUUCCGUGAAUGGUACAAGUGUAGCACAAAUGCCCGUA